rnacentral:rRNA from 1 species
GGGUUGUGAGGUUAAGCGACUAAGCGUACACGGUGGAUGCCCUGGCAGUCAGAGGCGAUGAAGGGCGUGCUAAUCUGCGAUAAGCGCCGGUAAGGUGAUAUGAACCGUUAUAACCGGCGAUACCCGAAUGGGGAAACCCAGUGUGAUUCGUCACACUAUCAUUAACUGAAUCCAUAGGUUAAUGAGGCGAACCGGGGGAACUGAAACAUCUAAGUACCCCGAGGAAAAGAAAUCAACCGAGAUUCCCCCAGUAGCGGCGAGCGAACGGGGAGGAGCCCAGAGCCUGAAUCAGCAUGUGUGUUAGUGGAAGCGUCUGGAAAGGCGCGCGAUACAGGGUGACAGCCCCGUACACAAAAGCGCAUGUGCUGUGAGCUCGAUGAGUAGGGCGGGACACGUGGUAUCCUGUCUGAAUAUGGGGGGACCAUCCUCCAAGGCUAAAUACUCCUGACUGACCGAUAGUGAACCAGUACCGUGAGGGAAAGGCGAAAAGAACCCCGGCGAGGGGAGUGAAAAAGAACCUGAAACCGUGUACGUACAAGCAGUGGGAGCACAGGUUUACCUGUGUGACUGCGUACCUUUUGUAUAAUGGGUCAGCGACUUAUAUUCUGUAGCAAGGUUAACCGUAUAGGGGAGCCGGAGGGAAACCGAGUCUUAAUUGGGCGUUAAGUUGCAGGGUAUAGACCCGAAACCCGGUGAUCUAGCCAUGGGCAGGUUGAAGGUUGGGUAACACUAACUGGAGGACCGAACCGACUAAUGUUGAAAAAUUAGCGGAUGACCUGUGGCUGGGGGUGAAAGGCCAAUCAAACCGGGAGAUAGCUGGUUCUCCCCGAAAGCUAUUUAGGUAGCGCCUCGUGAAUUCAUCUCCGGGGGUAGAGCACUGUUUCGGCUAGGGGGCCAUCCCGGCUUACCAACCCGAUGCAAACUGCGAAUACCGGAGAAUGUUAUCACGGGAGACACACGGCGGGUGCUAACGUCCGUCGUGAAGAGGGAAACAACCCAGACCGCCAGCUAAGGUCCCAAAGUCAUGGUUAAGUGGGAAACGAUGUGGGAAGGCCCAGACAGCCAGGAUGUUGGCUUAGAAGCAGCCAUCAUUUAAAGAAAGCGUAAUAGCUCACUGGUCGAGUCGGCCUGCGCGGAAGAUGUAACGGGGCUAAACCAUGCACCGAAGCUGCGGCAGCGAACGUAUCACCCAAGACAACUUUACGGAGUUGACGAUUGACGGAGCGAAGCGACGUCAAAGCGUUCAUUAAAGUCGAGUUGGCUUAGGGAUACGUUCGUUGGGUAGGGGAGCGUUCUGUAAGCCUGUGAAGGUGUGUCGUGAGGCAUGCUGGAGGUAUCAGAAGUGCGAAUGCUGACAUAAGUAACGAUAAAGCGGGUGAAAAGCCCGCUCGCCGGAAGACCAAGGGUUCCUGUCCAACGUUAAUCGGGGCAGGGUGAGUCGACCCCUAAGGCGAGGCCGAAAGGCGUAGUCGAUGGGAAACGGGUUAAUAUUCCCGUACUUGGUGUUACUGCGAAGGGGGGACGGAGAAGGCUAUGUUGGCCGGGCGACGGUUGUCCCGGUUUAAGCGUGUAGGUGUGUGUUCCAGGUAAAUCCGGUUCACUUUAACACUGAGGCGUGACGACGAGGCACUACGGUGCUGAAGCAACAAAUGCCCUGCUUCCAGGAAAAGCCUCUAAGCAUCAGGUAACAUCAAAUCGUACCCCAAACCGACACAGGUGGUCAGGUAGAGAAUACCAAGGCGCUUGAGAGAACUCGGGUGAAGGAACUAGGCAAAAUGGUGCCGUAACUUCGGGAGAAGGCACGCUGACACGUAGGUGAAGUGAUUUACUCACGGAGCUGAAGUCAGUCGAAGAUACCAGCUGGCUGCAACUGUUUAUUAAAAACACAGCACUGUGCAAACACGAAAGUGGACGUAUACGGUGUGACGCCUGCCCGGUGCCGGAAGGUUAAUUGAUGGGGUCAGCGCAAGCGAAGCUCCUGAUCGAAGCCCCGGUAAACGGCGGCCGUAACUAUAACGGUCCUAAGGUAGCGAAAUUCCUUGUCGGGUAAGUUCCGACCUGCACGAAUGGCGUAAUGAUGGCCAGGCUGUCUCCACCCGAGACUCAGUGAAAUUGAACUCGCUGUGAAGAUGCAGUGUACCCGCGGCAAGACGGAAAGACCCCGUGAACCUUUACUAUAGCUUGACACUGAACAUUGAGCCUUGAUGUGUAGGAUAGGUGGGAGGCUUUGAAGCGUGGACGCCAGUCUGCGUGGAGCCGACCUUGAAAUACCACCCUUUAAUGUUUGAUGUUCUAACGUGGACCCGUAAUCCGGGUUGCGGACAGUGUCUGGUGGGUAGUUUGACUGGGGCGGUCUCCUCCUAAAGAGUAACGGAGGAGCACGAAGGUUGGCUAAUCCUGGUCGGACAUCAGGAGGUUAGUGCAAUGGCAUAAGCCAGCUUGACUGCGAGCGUGACGGCGCGAGCAGGUGCGAAAGCAGGUCAUAGUGAUCCGGUGGUUCUGAAUGGAAGGGCCAUCGCUCAACGGAUAAAAGGUACUCCGGGGAUAACAGGCUGAUACCGCCCAAGAGUUCAUAUCGACGGCGGUGUUUGGCACCUCGAUGUCGGCUCAUCACAUCCUGGGGCUGAAGUAGGUCCCAAGGGUAUGGCUGUUCGCCAUUUAAAGUGGUACGCGAGCUGGGUUUAGAACGUCGUGAGACAGUUCGGUCCCUAUCUGCCGUGGGCGCUGGAGAACUGAGGGGGGCUGCUCCUAGUACGAGAGGACCGGAGUGGACGCAUCACUGGUGUUCGGGUUGUCAUGCCAAUGGCACUGCCCGGUAGCUAAAUGCGGAAGAGAUAAGUGCUGAAAGCAUCUAAGCACGAAACUUGCCCCGAGAUGAGUUCUCCCUGAGACUUAGAGUCUCCUGAAGGAACGUUGAAGACGACGACGUUGAUAGGCCGGGUGUGUAAGCGCAGCGAUGCGUUGAGCUAACCGGUACUAAUGAACCGUGAGGCUUAACCUUACAACGCCGAAG